CCUACGGGUGACAGCAGUGAGGAAUAUUGGUCAAUGGACGAGAGUCUGAACCAGCCAAGUAGCGUGAAGGAUGACUGCCCUAUGGGUUGUAAACUUCUUUUAUAAAGGAAUAAAACGAGGCACGUGUGCCUUUUUGCAUGUCCUUUAUGAAUAAGGAUCGGCUAACUCCGUGCCAGCCGCCGCGGUACUACGGAGGAUCCGAGCGUUAUCCGGAUUUAUUGGGUUUAAAGGGAGCGUAGAUGGGUUGUUAAGUCAGUUGUGAAAGUUUGCGGCUCAACCGUAAAAUUGCAAUUGAUACUGGCAGUCUUGAGUACAGUUGAGGUAGGCGGAAUUCGUGGUGUAGCGGUGAAAUGCUUAGAUAUCACGAAGAACCCCGAUUGCGAAGGCAGCUUACUAAACUGUGACUGACAUUGAUGCUCGAAAGUGUGGGUAUCAAACAGGAUUAGAUACCCGGGUAGUC
rnacentral:rRNA from 1 species